UACGUAGGGGGCAAGCGUUGUCCGGAAUCAUUGGGCGUAAAGAGCGUGUAGGCGGCUCGGUAAGUCCGCUGUGAAAGUCCAGGGCUCAACCCUGGAAUGCCGGUGGAAACUGUCGAGCUCGAGUCCGGAAGAGGCGAGUGGAAUUCCUGGUGUAGCGGUGAAAUGCGUAGAUAUCUGGAGGAACACCGGUGGCGAAGGCGGCAUCCUGGACCAAUUCUGACGCUGAGGAGCGAAAGCCAGGGGAGCAAACGGG
rnacentral:rRNA from 1 species